rnacentral:lncRNA from 1 species
CCUAGCACAAAAUAAUCUAGCCGAGCAUAAUGUUAAAAUUAAACAAAGAAAAGUGAAAAAAUAUCACAAAAAUUCGACCAAACGAGAAUGAUUCAUCAAAUUUAUUUUGCAGCCGCCGACUUUGUAUGCGUAUGUAUUAUCCUCCAAGCUGCUACUUUCUGUGGGAAUUAUAUAAAUCCAUGCAGCCGCCAACCACUCUCCAAAAGAUGCCAAAUUCUGCUUUCAGUUUGUAUUUGUAUAAUUCCCAAUUCUUGCCCUCCAAGCUGUUGUUUUCUGUCGGUAUAUAUAUAAAUAUAACUUCUUGCAGUCCACCAUAUAUAACCCUAGCAACUGCCGACUUUAUCAAUUCAGCCGUCCAUUAUCUCUUUAAUUCCAAUUCGACCCCAAGCUGCAGCUGACUUUCUGCCGUGGAAUAUACUCAAUUCAGCCCCAGCAAUUCUCCUUUUUUCUGCCACUCAAUCUACCAAUUAAAGAGUCCAAUUCCAAACUGCUUUCCGUUCCUUUUAAUUCCCCCAAAUCUGCCGAUUUUCUUCGUAUCUAUAUAUUAUGUUUUCUUCCGCCCACCAGCCUCGGCUUGCUGUAUAUUUAAUCCCCAUAAGGGAUUUCAAUUCUCUACCACGGCAACCUCCUUCUCACCGUUUUCUAUCUGUGUUUAUGAAUUUAGUUUGCUCCCCC